rnacentral:rRNA from 1 species
AGAGUUUGAUCCUGGCUCAGGACGAACGCUGGCGGCGUGCCUAACACAUGCAAGUCGAACGAAGCUCUGCGAUACAAGACUUCGGUCAAGUUGAACGGAUGACUUAGUGGCGGACGGGUGAGUAACGCGUGAGGAACCUGCCUUUCAGUGGGGGACAACAGUUGGAAACGACUGCUAAUACCGCAUAAUGUAUUCUGACCGCAUGAUCGGAAUACCAAAGAUUUAUUGCUGAAAGAUGGCCUCGCGUCUGAUUAGAUAGUUGGUGAGGUAACGGCUCACCAAGUCGACGAUCAGUAGCCGGACUGAGAGGUUGAACGGCCACAUUGGGACUGAGAUACGGCCCAGACUCCUACGGGAGGCAGCAGUGGGGAAUAUUGGGCAAUGGGGGAAACCCUGACCCAGCAACGCCGCGUGAAGGAAGAAGGCUUUCGGGUUGUAAACUUCUUUUACCAGGGACGAAGGACGUGACGGUACCUGGAGAAAAAGCCACGGCUAACUACGUGCCAGCAGCCGCGGUAAUACGUAGGUGGCAAGCGUUGUCCGGAUUUACUGGGUGUAAAGGGCGUGUAGGCGGAGAUGCAAGUUGGGAGUGAAAUCCAUGGGCUCAACCCAUGAACUGCUCUCAAAACUGUAUCCCUUGAGUAUCGGAGAGGCAAGCGGAAUUCCUAGUGUAGCGGUGAAAUGCGUAGAUAUUAGGAGGAACACCAGUGGCGAAGGCGGCUUGCUGGACGACAACUGACGCUGAGGCGCGAAAGCGUGGGGAGCAAACAGGAUUAGAUACCCUGGUAGUCCACGCUGUAAACGAUGAAUACUAGGUGUGGGAGGACUGACCCCUUCCGUGCCGCAGUUAACACAAUAAGUAUUCCACCUGGGGAGUACGACCGCAAGGUUGAAACUCAAAGGAAUUGACGGGGGCCCGCACAAGCAGUGGAUUAUGUGGUUUAAUUCGACGCAACGCGAAGAACCUUACCAGGACUUGACAUCCAACUAACGAAGUAGAGAUACAUUAGGUGCCCUUCGGGGAAAGUU